rnacentral:rRNA from 1 species
UACGUAGGUCCCGAGCGUUAUCCGGAUUUAUUGGGCGUAAAGCGAGCGCAGGCGGUUAGAAAAGUCUGAAGUUAAAGGCUGUGGCUUAACCAUAGUAUGCUUUGGAAACUGUUUAACUUGAGUGCAGAAGGGGAGAGUGGAAUUCCAUGUGUAGCGGUGAAAUGCGUAGAUAUAUGGAGGAACACCGGUGGCGAAAGCGGCUCUCUGGUCUGUAACUGACGCUGAGGCUCGAAAGCGUGGGUAGCGAACAGG